GGAAUAUUGGUCAAUGGACGCAAGUCUGAACCAGCCAUGCCGCGUGAAGGAUGAAGGUCCUCUGGAUUGUAAACUUCUUUUAUCUGGGACGAAAACGGGAUUUUUAUCUCAAUUGACGGUACCAGAGGAAUAAGCACCGGCUAACUCCGUGCCAGCAGCCGCGGUAAUACGGAGGGUGCGAGCGUUAUCCGGAUUUACUGGGUUUAAAGGGUGCGUAGGUGGGCUUAUAAGUCAGUGGUGAAAUCUCCGAGCUUAACUUGGAAACUGCCGUUGAUACUAUAGGUCUUGAAUUAUCUGGAGGUCAGCGGAAUAUGUCAUGUAGCGGUGAAAUGCUUAGAUAUGACAUAGAACACCAAUUGCGAAGGCAGCUUACUACAUAUAAAUUGACGCUGAGGCACGAAAGCGUG
rnacentral:rRNA from 1 species